GGGUGGCUGCAGUUCCCAUCAUGCAAUGCGGCGCGUCUUCUCGAGCGUUGCGUGCUGGGAGCUGUAGUCUCCUGGGGCAUCCGCACGGGGCUGGAAGAGCAGGGGUGCUGUUUGCUGGGCUCCCGCUGUCCCGUGGGCUUCCGCGGGAGCGGGAGCUGCCCCGAAGGGCUCUGGGCCGCGAUGGUGCUUCCCGCCUCCUCCCCCCGCAAGUGAGCUCACACAGCUCAUGAAGGCAUACACUGGCCACAGUGACAGAACCAGGAAAAGAUUCAACUACUGGCUGAGCAGUUUUUUCCAGAGGAUGAACCAAUCUAGAGUGAAUUUCAUCUCUGUGUUCUUCAACCUUCACUUGAGAUGUCAUCAGCACAAUUUCCUGAAUAAAAUUAUUUCAGAACUGUUCAACAAUCUUUAAGCCACAGUAAGACAAGUCUUGUUACUUCUGUCAUCUUUAUAUGUCAUGUUCUGUUUUAAAUAUCUUCUAGCAUAUGCACUAUUGAUAUUUUUUUCUUUUUUGAAGAAAAAUUUGGUUUUAUCGAAAUGAAGUUUGAUCUUUACAUAUUUAACUGUGAAAAUGAAAUUUAAGUGCACCAGUAAUCCAUAUUCCAUAAAGUAAAAGGAUAUCUACAUAAACCAGCAAGAAAAAGUGUACUCAUAAAUUCUCAAACAGAACCACGUGAACUACUGUAAAUUCAGUUUUGC